rnacentral:rRNA from 1 species
UACGUAGGGUGCGAGCGUUAAUCGGAAUUACUGGGCGUAAAGCGCACGUAGGCGGACUAUUAAGUCAGGGGUGAAAUCCCGGAGCUCAACUCCGGAACUGCCUUUGAUACUGGUAGCCUAGAGAUCGGAAGAGGUGAGUGGAAUUCCCAGUGUAGAGGUGAAAUUCGUAGAUAUUGGGAAGAACACCAGUGGCGAAGGCGGCUAUCUGGACCGACAUUGACGCUGAGGCGCGAAAGCGUGGGGAGCAAACAGG